CGAGCGCAACCCUUAUUGUUAGUUGCCAUCAUUUAGUUGGGCACUCUAGCGAGACUGCCGGUGACAAACCGGAGGAAGGUGGGGAUGACGUCAAAUCAUCAUGCCCCUUAUGACCUGGGCUACACACGUGCUACAAUGGGAAGUACAACGAGUUGCGAAGUCGCGAGGCUAAGCUAAUCUCUUAAAGCUUCUCUCAGUUCGGAUUGUAGGCUGCAACUCGCCUACAUGAAGCCGGAAUCGCUAGUAAUCGCGGAUCAGCACGCCGCGGUGAAUACGUUCCCGGGCCUUGUACACACCGCCCGUCACACCACGAGAGUUUGUAACACCCGAAGUCGGUGAGGUAACCUUUUUGGAGCCAGCCGCCUAAGGUGGGAUAGAUGAUUGGGGUGAAGUCGUAACAAGGUAGCCGUAUCGGAAGGUGCGGCUGGAUCACCUCCUUUCUAAGGAA
rnacentral:rRNA from 1 species